CAGAUUGAGCAGUUAAUAUACAGUUGAUAUAAGUAGAUUUGAAAAUUCCAAUUAGAAAAAUAAUAAAUCUACUGCAGUUGGGUUAUCAUCUUUUCGGCCUUUUAGUGAACACUAGGUCAAAGUCAAUUCGGCCUUUUAGUCCACACUUUGUCAAAAUCAAAUGAGCGCUUUGUAAGAAGACCACCGUCAUGAUGAUGGAAGUAAGAAGUUUUAAAACUAAACUUUAUUUUAACAAGGGUUAAUUCACGCAGGUUUUUAAAUCAGUUUGAUUGAUUUAGCGUGUGUGAAUUACUCCAUUAACAUCAUCCCCAAAAGUUCCAUUGGAAUUCUGCUGUCAGUGUCUGAAGAAAUGAAUAUGUGUACGAGACUGGAGUGAUAUGAUGAAGAUACCCAACAUAAUGAUUAAAAGAUAAAGAGAAUAAAUCAGAUUGGUGAUCAAUAUCCAAAAGACAGGAUGGUGGAUCUAAAGUUUUUUAAAAAAGAAGAAUUGCUGUCCAUCCAAGUGUUUACAGAAGAUUCCCACUAAUGCAGUUUUUUUCCAUCAGGAAGCAGUUUUGGAAACUGGUCAUUACUCAACAGAAUCAGGAGAUUUCAGUAUUGUAUGCAAACAAAGAUAAGACAGUGUCACUCGCACAAAUUUAAGUCCCCUUUCGGUUGAUUGUACUUUUUCUUAACAAAUAAAAAUCAGUAUCUCAAACACUCCUCUUCUCUUGGCAAGUCAUUUGGUUGAGUUUUCUCUGGCAAUAGGAUUUGUUUAUGACCCUCACUUUAAUUAAAAUGGCUCUACAAAAGCAGUUAAACAAUGGAUAUAUAGCAGUCAAUUUUGCAUUGUUAUGCCUCUAGAUCUGCCUCAUAAAAAAUAAUUUGAAUUUGUAUAUGAUUGAAGAUAAAAUGCUUCAUAAAGUAUAUUCAGACAUUGCAUUCUUAUCCCAUUAUUCCCAUAUCUGCUUAUUUAUUUAUCCCAUGGGAUUAAAAAUACCCAGUAUUAUGUACUUUGCAGGAUUUUUAAUCCUAAGAAGGGCAAAUAUGGGAUUUUUAAUCCUAUGUCGCCUAUUAUGGGAGAAAAAAUCCCAUGGGAGAAAAAAUCCCUCAAAGAUUUUUUUCUCCCAUGGGAUUUUGGUGGGAUUUUUGGUGGGAUGAAAAAUCCCGCCAUUCUCCCAUGGGAUUUUAGGUUUUGACAGAGGUUUAUGAGAAAACUACUACAAUGUGGAAGUUGAGAUUGACAUGAUGAGGUCAGAAUAAAAAAUCCCACCAAAAUAUAGAAAAAAAUCUAAUGUAGGUCUUUUCGAAAGGGUACCUAAA